GUCUCGAUCACUGCAUCAAACACAAGUUAAAGGAUUUUUCUGUGCACAUCUCCUGAGCAGCAGCAAAACCUGUCGUAGGACGUCAGAUACCGUAUCAACAACGGCGACACGUCUCUUCGUCACGGACAGAUAAGAGGGGUAAUCGUGGCUUAACUGCGAGCAGAAACCUUUGAAUCAAAGGAAGCCUUGACCACGCUAUCAGUCUUCACAGCUCAUAAACUACAUUUACCACAUUGGCACCGUUCCCACUACAGCGCGCAGCCGUGAUGAAAUGCAGCUAAGUAAAUUUGUUCAGAAUCAGCUUUAAUGGACAAAUACGUUCACAACAUGCAAGGAAUUUGGUUUCGGCCGUUGUUGUCACCCUAGGAAUAUGGAAAAGAAUAAUAAGAAAUAAACUAUGGAAAAAGGAACAUAAAUAAAUAAAUAUAACAAAAUAUAUACAGAAAUUUGCAGCUAGGAAGGAAUAUAUAAAGACAGUAGUGCAAAUGAUAAUUGCAUUCUGUUUUGAAGAGAGUUCCACCACAUUGUAGACUGAAAUAUUGCUUCUUUUUGUUAUUUUGCAGAUCAAAAUUUAACUGAGAAAACCUACAAUGCAUUGCUUCAAGUCUUUAGAAAUCAGUCCCUUUGCGCUCUGCGUCUGGUUUGUCAUCUGCUGAGUCCUCAUGAACACACACCAGCCCCUCGUCACACUUCCCCAGGUAGUCCCAGGUUCCUCCGCAGGUCUCCCCCUCGGUCCUGGCACACACCGGGCAGCAGCCGCAGACGCCCGUCGUGACGCCGCCUUUACACCGGAGCUUCAGCACCCUCCUGGAGGAGCAGUGGAUCCUCUCGCAGGGCGGGCAGUGGAGGGCCUGAAGCUGCGGAGAGCUCCUCGUGGUGGGCGUCUCCUCCGAGGCCACCGCCCCCAGCAAGGCACCCAAGACGAAGAGCAUCCACAUCCUUGAUCAGCCUGAUGCUUUUCCUGGAGGGAGAGCACCUGUCGGCACCUUUUAUACAGGUGGGCCCCUCAGAUAUCACGCCAGCAAGGCUUCAUAGUUUACGAGCCACAACCUCCACCCCCCACCAGCAGCCAAUAGAUGAGGGCAGGGGGGGUUCAGGCUGGGUGGAUUUUUGACUAAAUACACAGUUAAUUAUCCCCUCGUCUUAUCUUCACACUAUCAACAGUGUGCGUUUGUUUUGAAACAAUCCUUCCUCCUGGGCAGCCUUAGAUAAGUGUGAUGGAGCUGGAAAGACUGGCCCCCUUUGUAUUUGGAGUCACAUGACCUCUGCAAGGGGCAAUUCAGUGUACACCUGCAAUCAGGUAAUGACCUAUUUCUCCAAAGAACAAAAGGAUUAAGACAUCAGCAGCUUAUCUGAUCAGGACAUCUCGUAAGUUCUCGUAUCUCCGAAUGAAAACUGCGGUGUGGAACAAUAAAAGAUGGACACUGUCACUGAGGUUACACUGUCAGGACAUUUCUGCUCUCUUUGUGGAGGGUCAUGCUGCUGUUAUCACACAAUCUCCUUAUUCCGUAUUUAAAAAAAAAAAGACCAAACGCAUCAUUUAAAGUUAAACUACCUGAUUUGCACACCAACGCUAAUUUUGCACAAUUUUAUAUGUACUAUGUAGGUAUUCCAUUAAAAUCUGCCGUUUCCAGCUAGAAUAGUCAUUUACCACAUUAAUAAUGUCUAGACUGUAUUUCUGAUUCGUUUAAUGUUAUCUUCAUUGGAAAAAAAACGACUUUUCUUUCAAAAAUAAGGACAUUUAUAAGUGAUCCCAAACUUUUAGGUUGUUGCUAGAAGUACGGACCCGUAUCUGUAGACACUACCAAACUUUUAAGUGGUAAUGUAAGAAUAGUGCUUGUAUUGAGAUGUAGCAAACUGUCAAAAAUGAGUUUUUAAGCUUCAUAUAUUUAUGUCACUCAUUCAUAUAUCUAUGGACUAAGAUUAUAAGGGUUAAAAAAAUAAGAAAACUAUUCAUCAUCAGUGCUUAGGAUUGAGGAAGUUAACCACAUUAGAGACGUAAUGACCAGCAGGAAGCUCGGAGUCGUAUAAAAAUGGAUUUAUUUUCAAGGAAACCAUUGAGUAACACUGAAUACACCAGGAGUGAUCAUUCAAUAGUCAAUAAAACUCGUGACUCCUACAUCAUCAAAGAUCCCCACAUACAAGACGUCUUGGAAAACAAGAUUUCAAAGCAAACAUGUUGGCAAUUUGCUGGUGCUACAAUUUCAUCCCCCCCCCCCCCCCCCCGCC